GCAAACUUGUCAAUCAAGAUGGGUGACUUCUUUUCUUUUGAUUUAACCGAUGUUUCAGCUGCUCCUUUGUCCCUCAAGACAACGGGUUUUUUGACAGGCGGGGGAGCUAUAGAAGGUUUCGAUAGUAACGCAGGUUGUGGUUUUGAAGGUUGUUGAGGUUUCAAAGGCUGAGGUUUCGAAGGUGGUUGGGGAGCACGAGUUUGAGAAACCACCUUCUCCCCUCCUCUAGUUUGAGACUUCUCCUCUUCAUUCUUGUUAUAACUAGGCUUUGGUACUUCCUUCACAACCUUCUGCACUGAUGCAACAGAGUCCCCUUUACGCCAUACACUCUUCAAGGUUUUAGACUUCAGAGAUGCUGCUGAAUUCACCGGUCUCUCAGUCCUAGGACUAGCACCAGCAUUAUUCCUUACUGGU
rnacentral:lncRNA from 1 species